AGGUGUGUAUCAUUAAAUAAAGUUGUAAACUAAUCCCCCCCAAACUAGUGGUGAAAAGUGAUAAUCUCUAUCUGAUACAUGUUAGGGGCGGAAGGUAGCCUAGUGGUUAGAGCGUUGGGUCAGAAACCAAAAGGUAAAAAUCUGUUGUUCUGCCUCUGAACAAGGCAGUUAACCCACUGUUCCUAGGCCAUCAUUGUAAAUAAGAAUUUGUUCUUAACUGACUUGCCUAGUU